ACUCGAUAAUAUAAACCUAUGAAGCAAAAAGUUUAAUUUUUUAAAAACUUUCUAAAUUUUUGAAAUGUUACAAUAUCUUUGAAUAUGACAAUAAAACAAUAUUUUACUAAUCUAUAUAUAUACAAUUAUGAUUUUAAUAAUGAAAUAAUAAUCCAAAAAUAUAUAUAUAGCAGAAUAUACAAAUACGUGUGAAAGUUUAAAAUAAUAUAUUGAAUGAAAAAAAUAUAAUAUAAACUUAUUAUGUUUAAAAAAUUGAUAGACACAUAUAUUAUAAUAUAUACCAAUUUAGAAUUGAAAACAAAAUAUUUAUAUAAAAAUAAAUGAAAACAAAAACCUGCGCGGUUGCGCGGAUCAAGAUCUAGUCUAUCUUAUUAAAAUAGAAGUCACAACUUCACUAUAUGUGAUAUUAUAAGUUGGAUCAUUAUUUAGAAAGUUUAUCAAAUGUACAUAACUUCUUUACAAUAUCUUUCAAUAUCUUUAUUUUUAUUUAAAUAAAAAAUAUUUAUUUAAGAAAAUUCUAACAAGAUCUUUUAAAAAUCUUUUCAGACUCAUUUUAAAAUUUUGUUUUGAAAUUUUUUUUUAUUUAAAUUUUAGUUAUCAUUAAAUAUAGUCAGAAAUUUAAAUUUAAUUUAGUUUUUAUUUAUAAACAAAAAUUAAAAUUAUAUAAAAUAUUUUAAUGAAGAUAACAACUUGAAAUUAUUACUUUUAAAAAAUACAUUUUACAACGAUUUUUAAAAAUUUGUUGGAAAGCAAUAACCAUGAGCUCAAAUGUUAGGUAUCUUUGAUUGAGGUUUUUUAAAUACUAUCCUUAUUGGUAUAUUUUGAGCAAUUUCUCAAAUAAAAAUUUUACCAUAACAUUAUUUUGCAUGUACAAAAUAUUAUAUUUUCUUUUUUAAAAUAAGUUUUUUUUUGUUUUUAUUAAUAUCCCAAAAAAUUCUUCUCAACUAUAUAGGUUCAGUUUAAUUUAGUUUCCAUAUAAAUUCCAAAUUUUAAGAAUGAAACAUAAAAUUAUGUAAAAUAUUAUUAUUAAAUAAUAAUGUUUACAAUUUUAUUUUUUACAAAAUACAAAAAAUUAUGUAAUAUAGUAUUGUAUUGUUACAUAAUAAUAUUCUAUAAAUUUGAAUGAUUUAAUAUAAAGAUAAUAAAACCCGCAUGGAUGUGCUGGUCAAGAUCUAGUAUAUUAUUUAUUGUCGAAUGUUUAUAAAAUGUUUACUGUUUAAUAUAUUUAAACAUGUUAAUGGAAAUGAAUUUAUAUCAGUGAAGAAAAAGGAACACACGUAUGUUGUUCUAACUGUACUAGUUAAUUGUAUAUAGGCCUGGCAUUUUACCCGGACCCGAAGACCUGACCUGAAACCGACCCAAAAAAAUCCGGUUCGGGUAGGAACCGACCCGAUCAAAUUACCCUAUCGGGUCUUGUUGCAGAGGACCCGACCCGGCCCAAAUCCGAAACCCGAUGGGUACCCGAAUUAAUAAGUAAAUUAUAUAAAAUGCAUAAAGGAAGAAUCGAAGACGGGUUAUUUGUCUAGAAAACAUGGGGGUCAACCACUAGGAGACAACGAAUUGUUGUUGUAUCUCGCAUAGUUUAGUAUAUAUACACAUUUUAAUAUAAUAAAAACACAAAUUUUGAAUAUUUUCGGAUAUAUAAAUAUUUUCAGAUAUUUUUUUUGUAUUUUUAGGUCUUUUUUAGAUCAAACCCAAACCGAACCUGACCCUAAACCGAACUGAAUCCGAACCGAUAAAUUGUAAUUAUCCGAAUGGGUCUAACUAUCUAAGACCCAAACCGAUCCGGAUCCGGCACGAUCCGAACCGACCUGGAACCGAGAAUUUGAAAUUACUCUAUCGGGUCCUAAACUCUUAGAUCCGAAAGAUCCGGACCCGAAAGGACCCGAUCCGAACCCGACCCGGCGACCCGAAUGCCCAUGCCUAUUUGUAUAUCGGUAAAGUAGUAAUGGUAGGACAAAAAAAAAUAAAAAUUAAUGAAUGAGUCCAACAAUUUUUUAUAAUAGAUUUUUAGAAUAAUUCUCUUUUAAUAAUAUAGAUUACGAGAAUUCAUAGUUUGAGUUGAAAAAUAAAAUAAAUAAAAUAGUUAUAUAUAUAAUUUUAUAUUUAAUAUAAAUAUGAAGCAAUAAAAUUAUAUAUAUAUUAUCAUAUACACCAAAGCAUUUUUUAUUUCUUAAUAUUAAAUUAGAUUUUGUUAAAAAGAUAUUUAUACGCUUUUAAAACGCAGAAUAUAAUCUAAUUUAUUUUAAAUAAAGUGGAUGAGAUUUUCCAUUAGAUGUUUGUAAGUAUUUAUAAAUAUCUGUAAAUAUCCAUAUAUUUUUUGGAUAUUCCAUUUUUUAACAAAAUAAACCAAAAAAAUAAAUAUUCAAAAAAUAGGAAGCAUAUUACAAAUACUCAAUCCCUUUCUUACUAAAGGAGGAGCAUUGAUAGAAAUAAACCUUGGUCUCAUGUGUUUAUUACAUGAGUGUCAUUUCCUAUGUGUCAUCACCACAUGCACUCUCACUUACUUUAAAAAAAAAAUUCUUUAUCAACUAGAAUAAUUACAAACAAAUGCCAUUGAUAACCUUAAUUACAUUCCGAUUUCAAAAGGGAUUAUGUCUAUGGUAAGUCAUUUACACUUGAUUACAUUCCGAUUUCAAAAAAAAAAACGGGGAUUUAACUAAGGCAGCAUAUUAACUCCUUCCUAUGAGAGACUUUAUGGUAUGUUCAAAAAUUUGGAAGUGUUUCAUUUAAAUAAGGCAACAAAAUAAGUGUUUCUUUAAACGUGGUACAACGUAUUCAAGGCAUAAUAUCAAAUCGUUUAUCAUAAUGUACAUAUCACUUAAUGCUUCAAAAUGUUAAGGAAAGACAAUUGAAUUGUUAACGUAUUCAAGAAAACAAAAUUCAAAGAAUUGAAAGCCUUACCUUAACAGAUAGGGGAAUAUUUCUGAUAUAUUUUUUGCGUGACCAUCACUGAUUUUCCUUACCUAUUUCACGUCCAGGCAUCACGCAAUUUACAUUGAUGGGUUUUCCAAAAUUGUCUUCGACCCCAUUGGUGUUCCCGAAAUUGAUGCUUUACGAUUGAGGUAAUACAUGCAUUCACAUAUUUUGUUAAAUAAUUUUUUUAAUUUCUCUAGAUGAUCUCUUUGCUUGCUCAUAAUAGGAUUGCAAACGAAGACUUUUGAAACAAUUAUUGACAGCAGUUAUUUUGUCUCUAUUUUUCAUUUUCUUUUGUUUUUUUAUACAUUGUUCCUUUUAUAUUUUAUUAGACUAUUGCUUAUGUUUCAUUUAAUAUUAUAUUUAUAAUUUUCCCGCAUGCAAACAAAUAUACAAUUUAAUUUUAAAGUCCAUCGCAUAUAAAUUUAUAUUGACAUACUAAAAUUCUUAGAUAUAAUCCGUACUUUCUUACAUAUAUUUUUCUUAAUAUGACUUUAACUUUUAUUAUGUCUACAUAUUGAAAGCUAUAAUAUUUUAAAAAUCUCCUCGCUCUGUGCAGGGCGUGGAUUAUCACCUAGUUUGAUAGUAUUAUGCUAUUCGUAUCACCCAUAAUAUAGUAAGUCGAACUUAAGAAACAUUCCUUACAAAAGUCUCUCUCACUAAACUCUCUCUCUUAGGCUCUCCUCCGAUUGUGCUGCCGGCAUUCUGCUGCUGGAGGAUUUGGCUUCUCUUUCUCUCCCUUCUGCUCCUCGUCUGCCCUUCUCUAUUUCCGAUAUGUGGUAGGCUCUGAAGCAAAGUUGAUUCGGGUGAGUUCUGCAGUCGGAGUCUCUGCUCCGGUUCUCUCUCGAUGGUGUUUUGGGGUCGCGAUGAGGGGAGCUGGUUGUGUGCUGGCAUGGAUUCAGCAUUUAAGGCUUUGACAUAUGGUAGAUCUGGAUGCUCUCCCCUUUCCCAAUAUGCUCCGACAUAGUUACCUUUGGUAAAUUAUUCGUUAACCCAUUCACGUCACCUACUUCUACUACACUGCACGUUUGACGGAAUCUCUUUUAUAGAUCUGCACUGUACGACCACGUGCAUUGCGCAUUCUCAUUUAUAAAUACAUCAAACUUCACAAUUUAAUAAAUUCAAAUAUAUUCUGAUAAAAUAGGAAUAAAUAAAUUUAUAUUCGAUGACAAAAAAAAUUAUAUUCUGGCAGAAAAAGAACUUACAAGACAAUGGAAAGGUAAAUUAAUUAAACCUCUAGGCAGAGGCAGGGGACAAUAUUCAUAUGUCUUCUGGAAAUUCAUAUUUUUUAUUUGUAUAAACUAAUCAAUCUACAAAAAAAUAGUCCUUAAUUAAAGAUCAGAUGACGAAUAAUUGGUGCAUUGAGUUAGUUGUAAUCGAGAUCACAGCUUUGUAAAUAAACUUACUAAACAAUUAUUUCAAUAAUUAGUUUAUUUAGAAAGCUAUGAUGAUUAUUUAAAUAAAUAUAUCAAUAGGAAUAGUCCAAAAUACCACCAAAAUUUAAUUCUUGAAAAUCACAUUUAAAAAAAAAAUCUCCAUUAACUAAAACUGACUAAAUUUUUAGAAAUAGUUUGUGGUAUCUUUGGGAAAAAUAAAUACAGCAAACUGUAUUUUUAGAACGUAAACUGUUUUCAUUCGAAUGUUUUACGUUAAAACUCUUUAACUAAGUUUGUUUUGGAUUAAAAAACCCCAAACUAUGUAUUUAACGAACAAACUACCUAACUAAUUUUAUUUAAUGAAUUGAAACCUCGCCGGUCAUAAUUACCAUUACUACCGGUAUAUAUUAGUUUAGAAAUUUCUAUAUUAAAUAAAUAUAGUCGAGGAGUUUUACCAUUAAAAAUAAAAUAAAAUUCAAAAAAUACAAAAUUUUAUAACAUUAUAAAAAAAAUAGUAACUUUAAUUUUCAAAAUUAGCAUUUUAAAAAUUUUCUGUAAAUAUAUGUGUUUGAUCUGUUUUUAACAUCAACAUUAUAUAUGUAUAAAUUAAAAAUGUAAAAAAUAGAAAAUAUGAUAAAAAUUAUCUAAAGAUUUUUAAUUACAUUUUUAUUAUAUUUUUUUUGUUUUUUUUACAUUUUUAAAAUUUAGAUAAUUUUUAUUACAUGUAAAUCUUUAAAUAAUUUUUGUUAUAUUUUAUGCGUUUUUAUAUUUUUAAUUUAUACAUAUAUAAUGUUGAUUUUAAAACAAAUCAGACUCGUAUAUUUACAUAAGUUUUUAAAAUGCUAAAAUUGAAAUUUAAAGUUACUAAUUUUUAGAUAAUGUUAUUAUAUUUCGGAUUAUUUUGAUGUUUUGAUUUUUAAAAGUAAAAUCUCUCAACUAUGUUUACUUAAUGUAGAAAUCCCUAAACUAAAGAUUUACUGGUAGUAAUGAUAAUUAUGACCGACGAAGAUUUAAUUCACUAAAUAAAGUUACUUUGAAGAUUUUUUUUAUUAAAUAUUUAGUUUUUGGAUUUUUACCCAAAAACAAAGUUAAUAGAGGAGUUUUAAUAUUAAAAAUCAUUUUCAUUCUACACCAUGUACUGAGGAUCUUUCUUUGCAAAACACCGUUUAUUAAUUUAAAAAUUAUAUGGGUUGCUUUUUCACGAAUGACGUCCAGACUUACGUAUAUAAUAUAAACUAUGAAAAUAUAUAAUGGAUAUUUAAAAAUAACGAGAAAUUAAAUUACAAAGUUAGGUCGAAAGGGCCCAUCAAAAUAUGACAUAUUUUUUUUUUAAAACUUUUUUGGUUCAACUUCAACUUUAUAUUCAUUACAAAGAGUAGUACAUUUUAUAUUCAUUACAAAGAGUAGUACAUGAUUUUUCACCGCAUAGGAUUCAACCACACUUACAUACAAAGUGGUCUACUUUCACCUAGGAACACAUAGAUGGAUCCUACGCUACCCGAACCGACAUUUUGAUGUAAUUCUACCGAAUGAAACAAAUCUUUUCUACAACUGAGAAAAUGUUGCCUCUUAAACCACCUCAAAUCGACCAUAGAGAGUGACAAACACUAUCAGCCGAGACUAUCUAGUCCUAAUCAGGAUUAAUCAAUUUAAAACACAAACAUUGAUCGCCAUAGGAUGAGAAUUCAGUGUUUGGACCAAUGUAUCAUCACCAGCGGUGCAAUCCGGACUGGACCAAGCGUCAUCAGGCUCUAAUGGCUCACUUCUUAGCCGGAGGGACGGAAACACGUCUGUACUGAAACAAAAGUGAACCUUGACGACAGCAAACAAAACGCAACCGGGUCAGCAAGCAUAGUGUCCAAUGGCGUGGGUCCGUACCGCCGGUGAGGCAGAGAUGCCGCCACCAGUGCUGGGAAGUUGGACGCCACCAUGUACCAACUGUGAAGCUCCUCCCACCGACUGACAACUCCGAAGAGUUGGAUCCUUCGCGACGUGUCUUCCCCGAGAACCGGGGAUAAGGCCAUUUCCACUGUCUUCUUCACAUCUCUUCUCUGUUCAGCUCAUCGCCACUGGGCGAAGGUAGAUCUACGCUGGAGAAGGUUCCCCACUGGGUCACACGCCGUCGCCGGAGAUCUACGAAAUGGAAAAUCAAAUCUGGCAACACACUCCGGCUCUAAAAGUCGACCCCUUUCGCCACCGUUGCUCCAUAAUCUCACCGUUCCUCCAAGCCACCGGUACAAGUCACCUUCGGCCCUUAAACUUUCGAGUGAGACACCAAACAAAUCAGAGCAACACACAUAUCGACAUGGAGGGGACCGAUGAAGAAAAAGGUAAAGGGAAAAUAAGAUAAGGGGAUGGGGGGGAUUCCAGUACCGGCGAGCGCCGGCCCGGAGUAGAGCUUCUUGCCGGAAAGUUUUCUUCGCUUUUGUGGAGAGAGUCUGAUUCAUUUUUUGUCAAAACGCGACAUAUUUUUAUUUAGGUUUUGAUUGGUAAUUUUGCUUAAUCGCAGAAAAAAUUAAUUAAACUGCAAAAACUAAUUAAGCUUUCUGCUAAACAAAAAAUACAUAACAGUUUUCUAAAAAAUUAUUUAAACAAAAAAUUUAAAUUUAAUACAUUAUUUACUCUAUUUAAAAUUAGCAACUAUGAAUAAUUAAAUAUAUUAUUAUAAUAAAAAUACCAAUUAAAUUUAAUCAAAACAUUUCUUUUAUUUUAAUUAUUUAUCUUAUUCUAAAUACAUUAAUAAUAAUAUAUUAACAUAUACAUUAAAGAUGAAGUUAUAGAUUAUUACUAUUUAUUCCAUAAUUAUUUAUAACCAACUAAUAGUUAGUUAAUAUUUUAAAAUAUUAUUCUCAUAUAAUUAAACAACACGAAAAUGUUGAUUCCACAAAUAAUCUACUAAAAUCUCAUUUUUUUGUAUUUUUUUAGCGAAAACCCAAAGCCUGCAUUUUUGCGUUUUAUGUUGUAUUCCACAAAUUUUGUUGAUUGGUAAAAAUCUAGCGUUUUUGUGUUUUUAGACGCCAUUCCGCCAUUCCGCAUAUUACCAAUCAAAGCCUUAGCUUUUCUCUUCCUUUUCCGAAUGGUCAUUAUUAUUAGAGAAAUUGCAUCCUAUAGCAUACAAAAAAAUUAUAAUUCAUUAUCUAACCAAUUAACCUAGUUUACAUAGAUAUAUCAUGUAUUUUCAUAUAAUAAUACACUAAUACCCUUGUAAGUCACUGAUGAAACCUGCUACCAAACUAAUUUUAAAAUAAAUAAUACAUAAAUGUAAAAGGUAAUAUGUGGCUCUCUAUUAUUCACACACUAUUCUAAAGUUAUUUUUGUUUGAUAAUUUUUGGGAAAGUGAAUAUGUUUCAUCUCAGAUUUGCAAGAUAACUCAACGCAACCGUCUACAUACCCGGUGAAGUACAAUGGAGGAGAAAACCACUUUCGAAGGCUACGGCAUUAAGGAAGGGGGAAGCUUCUCAGAUUUUGAAAUAAACAGUCCCAAGGAAGACAGAACAAGAGAGGCGGCGAGGUGGAUUAACGCUUGCAGAUUCAAGUUCCCAAAACCGUAUUGCAGAAGAGAAUUUCAAUCAUGUUACAAAUGGAUGAUUUAUACUGUCAAGUAGAUUGUUCGAAACUGGAUUUGAACCAAUUCGUGAAUAUAUUCUCAUUUAUAUGUAAUGAUGCAAUGUGUAUAUAAAUGGAAUAGACCGUGUGCACGUAAAAUGGAAAGAUCAUACAUGUGAAAUGGAAUGUAUGAUAUUUGCUAUUUGUUUUAUUCUAUUUUAUUUGCAGAACAUACAAUAGAAAUAUGAUUUUACAGUGCAUUCGCAUAAGUUAUGUUUGUUGUUGUAUCAUUGAUAUGAAUCCUAGUUUAUGCGUAUUGAUCAAGAAUUAAGUAUUUAAAACUCAAUUUUAUCACUUCCUUAACCACAUUAACAUAAGUCUAAACUUCACACGAAUUUCGUUAACCACAUCCAAAUUUCAUAAUUUCACCAAUAUGUAGUAUACUAUUUAUUUUGUUCUAUUCUAUUUGGGUUGAGGAUUUAUAUUUGGAUUUAGAGUUUAUAUUUGAGUUUAGGGUUUAAUGAUAAAGUUUUAGAGUUUAGUAUGGUUGGAAGUGGAGAUAGGACAUGAUUAGAAUUUAGGGUUUAGUAUUUUAGGAUUAGAGUAAGAUUUUGAUAUUUAAGAGUUAUGGGUAAGAUUUGUAUCCUAUACUAUUUCUCCGAUAUGGAAUACACUUUUUACUAAAAAUCUAUUUCUUUUCACUCUUUUUACAGCAUUUGUUUAUUUUUGUAUUUAGUAUCUUCAUUAUCUGGUUGGUUAAGAAAAUAGACUUACAUUAUAUUGUAAAUGGAAUAUACCACUCUUAGAAAGUAUUAUAUUUUUAUCCAUUUGUUUUACAUGUCACUUAAAUGUGCGGUAACUGUGCAUGUGACGUAAGUGACUUCAUGUGCUUUCAUUGUUAAUAGUGAUUAUUAACUCAUGUUUCUCUUCUCUCAUCGACGUCACUAUUUUCUUUUUCACUGGGUACCUUUAAGUGAAAAGGGUAUAACCGACUAAACUUUAGCAUAAAUGUUAGUUUAUUAAAUAGAUCAAAAUCAAUGUUAUAUGCUUAAUUUUCAUUUUUGUUUUGUAUAUUGAACAAAUUCUCCCUUAUUAUUAUUUGUCAAAGUACAAGUGUACAACCAGCAUAUACACUUUACAAAUUCGUUAUAAUUAAAACCUAUACGCACUACCAAGUUAUAUAAUAACCAUGAAUAUGUAGAUUGUAUAUACCAAAUUACCUGGAGACACACAUUAUUUAUCAACAUAAAACUAUUCCAAUAUAUAAGUUUUAUAUUGAAAAUUAAAAAAAUAGGCUGCUAAAUGAGUCACGAAAAGGUUGCCUCCAACUUUGAGAAAGAAAUAGAAUAGUGGAAAGAUGAGGAGAAAAGUAACUGUUUAUAAAUUAGAAAAAGUCACUGCAUGCCACCACAGCCCAUAGGUCAGACCUUGUAUUGGACCUUUCCUUUAUUUGUAUUUAGCUAGUUUUAUUAUAAUUUUAAGUAAUGAUAUAUUUCAGUUAGUUUAAAAUUGGUAAGAAAGUGAUGUCAAAUAGAAUUUAGGUUUGAUCAAAAAAAAAAUAGAGAAUUUAGGUUUACUAUAAUUUUAGGUAUUUAUAAAUAAAUAUCUCAAUGAUUUAAGUGAUGAGCAUAUUCCGAAACAAGGAUUGUUUUAUAUGCAUUGAACCUCCUUAUAAAAGUUUAAACAUGUAAUGGACAUAUCACUGGGUCACUUAUGUUAUGAUUAUUGAAUUUGAUAAUAUUAUAAGUGACUUAUAAGUCAUCAUUUCCUACAAAUUAAUAAUUUACUCUCGAAAGCUUUUUUGUAGUCGGUAAAUAUCUUAUCAACCUAACUGUAUUAAUAUGAUAUUUCAUUUUGAGUUUUAAAGUUAAUUUUUUUUACUCCCUUCAUAAUGUUACAUAUUUUAGAAAAAAAAUAUUUCAAAAAAUACAUUUUUGUAUUUGCAAUUCAUAUUUUGUUCAGCUACUAAUGAUUAAUUGCAAAUUUCAAAAAACUUAAUUGUACUUAUUAGAUAUUUAUUGGUUUAAAUUUAUGAGAAAAUGAUAAUUACAAAAAUCAUGCAUUUAUUACAUGUUUUAUUAAUACAUGUGAAAAAAUAAAAUAUACAUCAUAUUGAAAUAGAAUGAGUAUUAUUUUUUGAGUGAUUUUUUCGUGUGUAUCUGUAAUGAAAAACUAGACGCAACUACACACAAACUAAAAGAAAAUAAAACACAACAAACGAUGAUAAAUUCCUACAACCGAGAUUAAACGUAAACAACACCAAUAUUCUUGAAGCCACAUAUUGACAUGAACUUCCUUGCCAGUAACGAGUCCAUGUCAAUCUUGUUUAUCGUGACUAACGUGGUCAGUCUUCAGAACCAUUCUGUUUCUGUAGCUUCUUCGAAAAUCCCGAACCAUUGACCUGCAAAAAAUAGCGCACACAACCACCACUUCCAGCGGAUAUUCUGGAGGAUCAUUCAGAAUAUUUAUUUUUUUGUUUUUGCUUAACUUCUGAAUAAACUUAGAUAAAGGAGAGGUUGCAUGCCACAAUCACUCUGAUUUUGUGUAUAUAUAUAUACUUUUUUUUUUUGUUACAAAUUUUGUGUACAAAGAUCGGAUGAAUGAAAUAGAGCUUUAUUGGAGGAAAAAAAUAGAAACUAAAAAAAAGUAGUCUCUUUGGUUCAGAGUAUGACUCAUACUGUAUGAGGUGUUCUCGUAGUGAAAGCUCAGUCUAGCCAAAAAUCUUAUAAUCUUAUUAUCUAAAAUUGCUAAAGAUUUACUUGCAAUGCAAGUGCCGUAUGUUGCAUAGGAAUCCAUCUUAGCACUAGUGGUUACUAUUGGGCCUCUGUACUCCUUAUACGAGGUCCACUAUAAAUAAGUUUACAGUUUAACGUCGCUAUACAUCAUGUAUAUAUGUAGGUUAUGCCUCCUAUCAUGAAUAAUAAGAAACACUUUCAUAAACUUUCUAGUUUCUUGACAUGGUAUCAAAGCCAUAACCUAACUACACCAAAGUUGUAGCUUUCGAUCUUGUGAUAUCUAAACUUUCCGUUUUAAAAACUCUUAAUCUCUGUCAGACUACUAACUACUUCACCAUAUUUCAAAAAAAAAAAAAAACUACUUCACCACUAAGCAAAGCCUGUUUUAAAGAGGCAAAAUAGCUUUAUUUUACUUCUGUUCAAGAAGAUCUUGUAAAGGGUUACAUGCCAUGUGCUUAUGUUAAAAGUGAUUUGAUAGCUUUAUUUUACUUAUGCAAAAUAGCUUUAUUUUACUUAUGUUCAAGAAAAUCUUGUAAAGGGACUGUAUCUAUACUAUUAAAGCAGGAUUCUAUUUUAAAAAUUACCUUAGCCUGCCUUUUUUUUUACUAACAUUGCAUGUUUUAUUAAGGGCAAUCAAGUAAUAUUAAUAACACAUUUACAUUGGGCUAUUUUUUCGGAUCCAGCCCACAUCAGAUCUCUCUUGGGCCAUUUGGGCCGAUUAAGAAAUCCAAUUCUCACAUUUUUUUUUCUUUUGGGUCAUUGAGCCCAAGUUUAAAUAAUUUUUUUUAACUAUUCUUAAUUAUUAUUUUUUUCUUUUCUUAAUAUAGUUUAAGCACUCAUAAAAAAGUGGAUUUUACAUUGAAAAGUAUAAAUCUUUAUUAAAAGUAUAUUUUUUUAUUAAAAUAUUAACCACAUAAUAAAAUUAAUUUAUCAGAAUUAUACCAACUUAAUUCAUUAAAGAAAUAAAGUUUAAUUUUUUAAGCAUAAAUAGUCAUUUAAAAUUAAAUACGAUAAAUAAAAAUAAAAGUUUAAAUUUUUUAUAAAAUAAAACACAAAUAUAUAAAACUAUGACAUUUUUACUAAAUAUUUGUCAAUUGAAAAAAAUAAAAAAUAAAUCUGCGCUUUAAAAGCGCGUGUCAAAAUCUAGUUAUUAACUUAUUACCGAUGUAUUUAACAUUUUACCAAAAAAAAAAAAAAAUCUUGAAAAGGGUUACCUAUCAUGUGCUUAUGUUAAAAGUGAUUUGAUUCUCUGCCUCUUUAAAAAAAAAAAAAAAAAAAAUCUCACACGGUUGUCGUCAAAAGAUUUCGUUACGUUAGCAGAUGAAACUGGUUCUGUUAUGUUGAUCAAAGACGAUCGACUUUUAAUAAAUACAUUAGAUUUUCACAUGCGCAUAAAAAAGCGGAAUUAUUUCUUUCAGUUGCAAAAUUUUUAAUUUUACAUAAUUCAUAUAUUGUAUGUAAUUUUACAUGACUUAUAUAUUUUAUCAUUUUACAUGAUUUAAAAAUAUAUGGAUUUUUUAUACAUUUUAUCUAUUUUCAGUUUUUACCUGAAAUAUUUUUUUUUUCAGUGUGCAAAAUGUUUUUAUUGGCAACUUAUAUAUAUCCACGUGCGACCAAGUGGAAUCCCUCUCCCAUCUCCUCUUUGAAUGUAGCUUCACAAGGGAAGUUUGGACCUUGUGCAAAUCAUGUAAAAUGAUAAAAUAUAUAAGUCGAUUGAGACUCAAGCCGAUCACAUCGCGUGUGUUGGCUUGAGACUUCCCUUGCGAUCACAUCGCGUGUGUCGGCUUGAAACUUCCCUCAAUUGAAACUCAAGCCGACACACCCGAUGUGAUCUACUUGCAACACAGACGCAGCCUGACUCUCACAGACAAAAUCUGCUGGAAUGGCCUGGAUCUUCACAGAUCAGGAGUCUAGGGACAUAGCAAGAGGCUCCCUGUACCAGGAGUUCGUCUCCUCUCCAUCUAUGGCAGAGGCGCUAGCGAUUCGCGGUGCUCUUCUACAUGCAAUAUCCCUCAACAUCAACAAAAUUAUUUUUCGCUCGGAUUGCAAAGGGUUUGUUCAAGCCAUCUCCUCGAAUCAAAGAUAGGUGGAACUGUUUGGAAUUCUAUCGGACAUUGAAUCGUCGAUCACUUCUUUCUCGUCUUUGUCUUUUGUUUUCAUUCCAAGAACCUUAAAUGGACCAGCUGAUGCUGCAGCAAAAACAUACCUUUGUAACAAACUCUCUAGUUUGGGCCUAGCCACAAACUAAUUUUUAAAUUAAUGAAGCUUUCUGAUGUUCGAAAAAAUAUAUAUCCACGUGCGGAACUAUAUAUAUAUGAAUUAGCACGUGCCACAUACUCAAUAAUUUAAACCCUUUUUGUGUA